UGGGGGAUAUUGCACAAUGGGGGAAACCCUGAUGCAGCGACGCCGCGUGUGGGAAGACGGUCCUCUGGAUUGUAAACCACUGUCCCCAGGGACGAAGAUGACGGUACCUGGGGAGGAAGCUCCGGCUAACUACGUGCCAGCAGCCGCGGUAAUACGUAGGGAGCGAGCGUUGUCCGGAAUUACUGGGUGUAAAGGGAGCGUAGGCGGGGAUGCAAGUUGGGUGUCAAAACUACCGGCUCAACUGGUAGUCGCACUCAAAACUGCAGCUCUUGAGUGAAGUAGAGGCAGGCGGAAUUCCUAGUG
rnacentral:rRNA from 1 species